UACUUCUUUAUUCUCCUACUUUAUCCCUUUAUCUCUUUUAUUCUUUUCACUUUCUUUUCCUCGUUUUAUUGCUCUUUUAUUCCCUUAUUCUCUUAUUCUCUUAUUUACUACUUCUAUACUCCUACCUCUUCUACUUUCCUCUUCUACUCUACCUCUUCUACUCUCCUUUACUACUUUCCUCUUCUACUCUCAUUCCUUUAUUUCCUUAUCCCUCCUUAACAACGCUUAACGAUUACUCGCCUUAUGGCUCGUUACUCGCUUCACACAUCAAUGAGUCAACUUCAAUUUUUCAUCCUUCUCAAUUAUCAUAUCACACUAUAUAUCUCUAUUAUACUUAAUGAAUCCCAACACACUUUACUUCGUCUUUCCACCUUAACCAUUCCACGAUGCAUAUGAACCUUCCCCUACAUUUCUCAUUCUCCCCGACAACAUACAACUGAACGAGCUUUCUCAAUAAUUUUUUCUAAAUCUAAUAAUAAACUCAUGCUUUCUUUUCAAUUUUCAACUCUCUACUGUUUGCUGUUCAUUGGCAAAUAAAUAUUUUCUGUUAUUUUCAAUUGUUAUUUAUUAUUAUCUUUAUCUUUGCCCCAAUCACUAUUUCAAUCACUUUGUUGUUUUCUUUCGUUGUAAUUGAAUCUAAUUUAAUUAUUCUGUUUAUUUUGUUUCUUCUAUUUCUUUUCUUCUAUAUAGUUACUUGUCUAAUUUAUUCAUUUACGUAUUUCAACAUACUUACUCUACUCUCUCUACUCACUCUCCCUACUCUCUCUACUCUAUCCCCAUUUCAUUCUCAUUCUUAUUCUCUCUCUUUGUUACUUUGUUACUCGCCUGCCUCUACCAUCUUCUUCAUGACUCAUUAACUUGACUGACUCACUACUUACUCCACUUGUCCUUCAUACUUCCUUCCUCUUUUCAAUAACGAGACUUUAUCCAUUUCGUUAUCUAGCUUUACUAUACUCUAUCGCAUUUACCAUUCCUCCACAUUUACCAUUCCUCUUUUUCCCCGACGACAUACAACUGACCGAGCUUUUCCAAUAAUUUUAUUUAAAUUUAUUAAUAAAUUUAUAGUUUAUUUUAAAUUUUCAAUUGCCUACCGCUUGCAGUUGUUUGGCAAAUAAAUAUUUUGUGUUGUGAUAUCUAUUACUGUCUUUACCUCUGACAGAUGCUCAAACCAGUUUCCAACCUUUUGUUCUUACUACUUUUUAUUCGAUUCUAUUUAUUCACUUCCAACUUAUACAUCACCUAAUAACCGUAACC